rnacentral:rRNA from 1 species
UACGGAGGAUGCAAGCGUUAUCCGGAAUGAUUGAGCGUAAAGCGUCCGCAGGUGGCUAUGUAAGUCUGCUGUUAAAGAGUGAGGCUCAACCUCAUAAGAGCAGUGGAAACUACAUGGCUAGAGUGCGUUCGGGGCAGAGGGAAUUCCUGGUGUAGCGGUGAAAUGCGUAGAGAUCAGGAAGAACACCGGUGGCGAAAGCGCUCUGCUAGGCCGCAACUGACACUGAGGGACGAAAGCUAGGGGAGCGAAUGGG